rnacentral:rRNA from 1 species
GACGAACGCUGGCGGCGUGCUUAACACAUGCAAGUCGAACGAAGAGCGAUGGAAGCUUGCUUCUAUCAAUCUUAGUGGCGAACGGGUGAGUAACGCGUAAUCAACCUGCCCUUCAGAGGGGGACAACAGUUGGAAACGACUGCUAAUACCGCAUACGAUCUAAUCUCGGCAUCGAGGAAAGAUGAAAGGUGGCCUCUAUUUAUAAGCUAUCACUGAAGGAGGGGAUUGCGUCUGAUUAGCUAGUUGGAGGGGUAACGGCCCACCAAGGCGAUGAUCAGUAGCCGGUCUGAGAGGAUGAACGGCCACAUUGGGACUGAGACACGGCCCAGACCUCUACGGGAGGCAGCAGUGGGGAAUCUUCCGCAACGGACGAAAGUCUGACGGAGCAACGCCGCGUGAGUGAUGACGGCUCCGGGUUGUAAAGCUCUGUUAAUCGGGACGAAAGGCCUUCUUGCGAACAGUUAGAAGGAUUGACGUACCGGAAUAGAAACCACG